UAGCUCAAUUUGACAGCAUAUAUACUAAAAUUGGAACUAUACAGAGCAGAUUAGCCCAGCCGUUGCAUAAGGAUGAUAUGAAAAUUCAUGAAGCAUUCCAUAUUUUU
rnacentral:snRNA from 1 species